UUCCGGUUGAUCCCGCCGGACCUGACUGCUAUCGGAUUGAUACUAAGCCAUGCUAGUCUUUGUAGUAAUACAAGGCAUACGGCUCAGUAACGCGUAGUCAACCUACCCUAUGGACGGGGAUAAUCUCGGGAAACUGAGCAUAAUACCCGGUAGACCACUUCUCCUGGAAUGGUUAGUGGUUAAAAUGAUUCGUCGCCAUAGGAUGGGACUGCGGCCUAUCAGCUUGUUGGUGAGGUAAUGGCCCACCAAGGCGAUUACAGGUACGGGCUCUGAGAGGAGAAGCCCGGAGAUGGGUACUGAGACAAGGACCCAGGCCCUAUGGGGCGCAGCAGGCGAGAAAACUUUGCAAUGUGCGAAAGCACGACAAGGUUAAUCCGAGUGAUUUCUGCUAAAGGAAUCUUUUGUUAGUUCUAAAUAUACUAGUGAAUAAGGGGUGGGCAAGUUCUGGUGUCAGCCGCCGCGGUAAAACCAGCACCUCAAGUGGUCAGGAGGAUUAUUGGGCCUAAAGCAUCCGUAGCCUGUUCCAUAAGUUUGCGGUUAAAUCUAUGCGCUCAACGUAUAGGCUGCCGUAAAUACUGUAGAACUAGGGAGUGGGAGAGGUAGACGGUACUCGAUAGGAAGGGGUAAAAUCCUUUGAUCUAUUGAUGACCACCUGUGGCGAAGGCGGUCUACCAGAACACGUUCGACGGUGAGGGGUGAAAGCUGGGGGAGCAAACCGGAUUAGAUACCCGGGUAGUCCCAGCUGUAAACGAUGCAGACUCGAUGAUGCAAUGGCAUAGAGCUAUUGCAGUAUCGCAGGGAAGCCGUUAAGUCUGCCGCCUGGGAAGUACGUACGCAAGUAUGAAACUUAAAGGAAUUGGCGGGGGAGCACCACAAGGGGUGAAGCCUGCGGUUCAAUUUGGAGUCAAUGCCGGUA
rnacentral:rRNA from 1 species